rnacentral:rRNA from 1 species
UCGAACGAUGAACCACUUCGGUGGGGAUUAGUGGCGAACGGGUGAGUAACACGUGGGCAAUCUGCCCUGCACUCUGGGACAAGCCCUGGAAACGGGGUCUAAUACCGGAUAUUGACCUUCACGGGCAUCUGUGAGGUUCGAAAGCUCCGGCGGUGCAGGAUGAGCCCGCGGCCUAUCAGCUUGUUGGUGAGGUAAUGGCUCACCAAGGCGACGACGGGUAGCCGGCCUGAGAGGGCGACCGGCCACACUGGGACUGAGACACGGCCCAGACUCCUACGGGAGGCAGCAGUGGGGAAUAUUGCACAAUGGGCGAAAGCCUGAUGCAGCGACGCCGCGUGAGGGAUGACGGCCUUCGGGUUGUAAACCUCUUUCAGCAGGGAAGAAGCGAAAGUGACGGUACCUGCAGAAGAAGCGCCGGCUAACUACGUGCCAGCAGCCGCGGUAAUACGUAGGGCGCAAGCGUUGUCCGGAAUUAUUGGGCGUAAAGAGCUCGUAGGCGGCUUGUCACGUCGGUUGUGAAAGCCCGGGGCUUAACCCCGGGUCUGCAGUCGAUACGGGCAGGCUAGAGUUCGGUAGGGGAGAUCGGAAUUCCUGGUGUAGCGGUGAAAUGCGCAGAUAUCAGGAGGAACACCGGUGGCGAAGGCGGAUCUCUGGGCCGAUACUGACGCUGAG